rnacentral:rRNA from 1 species
GUGGGGAAUAUUGGACAAUGGGCGCAAGCCUGAUCCAGCCAUGCCGCGUGUGUGAAGAAGGCCUUUUGGUUGUAAAGCACUUUAAGCGAGGAGGAGGCUCCUUUAGUUAAUACCUAAAGUGAGUGGACGUUACUCGCAGAAUAAGCACCGGCUAACUCUGUGCCAGCAGCCGCGGUAAUACAGAGGGUGCGAGCGUUAAUCGGAUUUGCUGGGCGUAAAGCGUGCGUAGGUGGCCAAUUAAGUCAAAUGUGAAAUCCCCGAGCUUAACUUGGGAAUUGUAUUCGAUACUGGUUGGCUAGAGUAUGGGAGAGGAUGGUAGAAUUCCAGGUGUAGCGGUGAAAUGCGUAGAGAUCUGGAGGAAUACCGAUGGCGAAGGCAGCCAUCUGGCCUAAUACUGACACUGAGGUGCGAAAGCAUGGGGAGCAAACAGGAUUAGAUACCCCUGUAGUCC